rnacentral:rRNA from 1 species
UACGGGGGGAGCAAGCGUUGUUCGGAAUCACUGGGCGUAAAGGGAGUCUAGGCGGUUUGGUAAGUGGGAUGUGAAAUCCCCGGGCUCACCCCCGGGACCUGCAUCCCAAACUGCUGAGCUUGAGUACAGGAGAGGGUGGGGGAAUUCCAGGUGUAGCGGUGAAAUGCGUAGAUAUCUGGAGGAACACCGGUGGCGAAGGCGCCCAGCCUGGCCUGCUACGUGACGCU